rnacentral:lncRNA from 1 species
GAAUGUGAUAUGGGAGACUUGGCAGAUGACCAGUAGUAUGUCUGAAAGGGGUGGACCCGGUCUGACAGUUGAGCAAGAUAGAGCUGGUACAUGAUCUGCUCAUUGGAAGAAUCAUUUUUUUUGGUAGAUUUUUUUCGGUACCAGGGAUCAAACUCGGGACUUUGUGCUUGUGAGUCAGGUGCGGUGCCACUGUGCUAAAUCCCUGGCCCAGAAGGAUCAUUUCUGAGUGCCAUCUGAACAAGAAAAUUUCCAUGGAUCUACAUUUUUGCCCAUAUAUGACACAGUCUCUCUGUCACCCGUAUAUGACAUUCAUCUUGUCACAUAUAUGGAAAUUGUGAUUCCAUAUAGGUUAUUAAGAAUGUUAAAGGAAUGGUUGCUUUUGAC